GGGGAAUAUUGCACAAUGGAGGAAACUCUGAUGCAGCAACGCCGCGUGAGUGAUGAAGGUCUUCGGAUUGUAAAGCUCUGUCUUCUGGGACGAUAAUGACGGUACCAGAGGAGGAAGCCACGGCUAACUACGUGCCAGCAGCCGCGGUAAUACGUAGGUGGCAAGCGUUGUCCGGAUUUACUGGGCGUAAAGGAUGUGUAGGCGGAUAUUUAAGUGAGAUGAAAUCCCCGGGCUUAACUUGGGGGCUGCAUUUCAAACUGGAUGUCUAGAGUGCAGGAGAGGAAAGCAGAAUUCCUAGUGUAGCGGUGAAAUGCGUAGAGAUUAGGAAGAAUACCAGUGGCGAAGGCGGCUUUCUGGACUGUAACUGACGCUGAGGCGCGAAAGCGUGGGGAGCGAAC
rnacentral:rRNA from 1 species